GAUGAACGCUGGCGGCGUGCUUAACACAUGCAAGUCGAACGGGAAACCUUUUAAUGAAGCUUCGGCAGAUUUAGCUGGUUUCUAGUGGCGGACGGGUGAGUAACGCGUGGGUAACCUGCCUUAUACAGGGGGAUAACAGUCAGAAAUGACUGCUAAUACCGCAUAAGCGCACAGGACCGCAUGGUCCGGUGUGAAAAACUCCGGUGGUAUAAGAUGGACCCGCGUUGGAUUAGCUUGUCGGUGGGGUAACGGCUCACCAAGGCGACGAUCCAUAGCCGGCCUGAGAGGGUGAACGGCCACAUUGGGACUGAGACACGGCCCAGACUCCUACGGGAGGCAGCAGUGGGGAAUAUUGCACAAUGGGGGAAACCCUGAUGCAGCGACGCCGCGUGAAGGAAGAAGUAUCUCGGUAUGUAAACUUCUAUCAGCAGGGAAGAUAGUGACGGUACCUGACUAAGAAGCCCCGGCUAACUACGUG
rnacentral:rRNA from 1 species